GAUGAACGCUGGCGGCGUGCUUAACACAUGCAAGUCGAACGGAAAGGCCCAAGCUUGCUUGGGUACUCGAGUGGCGAACGGGUGAGUAACACGUGGGUGAUCUGCCCUGCACUUCGGGAUAAGCCUGGGAAACUGGGUCUAAUACCGGAUAGGACGAUGGUUUGGAUGCCAUUGUGGAAAGUUUUUUCGGUGUGGGAUGAGCUCGCGGUCUAUCAGCUUGUUGGUGGGGUAAUGGCGUACCAAGGCGUCGACGGGUAGCCGGCCUGAGAGGGUGUACGGCCACAUUGGGACUGAGAUACGGCCCAGACUCCUACGGGGGGCAGAAGUGGGGAAUAUUGCACACUAGGCGCAAGCCUGAUGCAGCGACGCCGCGUGGGGGAUGACGGCCUUCGGGUUGUAAACUCCUUUCGCUAGGGACGAAGCGUUUUUGUGACGGUACCUGGAGAAGAAGCACCGGCUAACUACGUG
rnacentral:rRNA from 1 species